rnacentral:rRNA from 1 species
AACGCGAAGAACCUUACCCAGGCUUGACAUGCAGUGGACGAUAUCAGAAAUGAUAUUUCCCUUCGGGGCCGCUGCACAGGUGCUGCAUGGCUGUCGUCAGCUCGUGCCGUGAGGUGUUGGGUUAAGUCCCGCAACGAGCGCAACCCUUAUCAUUAGUUGCCAACACGUGAAGGUGGGAACUCUAAUGAGACUGCCUGGGUUAACCAGGAGGAAGGUGAGGAUGACGUCAAGUCCGCAUGGCCCUUAUGUCUGGGGCUACACACGUGCUACAAUGGUCGGUACAGAAGGCAGCGAAACUGCAAAGUGAAGCAAAUCCCUAAAACCGGCCCCAGUUCAGAUUGUAGUCUGCAACUCGACUACAUGAAGUUGGAAUUGCUAGUAAUGGCGAGUCAGCAACAUCGCCGUGAAUACGUUCCCGGGCCUUGUACACACCGCUCGUC